rnacentral:tRNA from 1 species
AAGAUUUUAAGUUAAUCCAAACUUUAAACCUUCAAAGUUCAACAUAAAAUUCAAUUUUAAAUCUUA